rnacentral:rRNA from 1 species
UACGUAGGGUGCGAGCGUUAAUCGGAAUUACUGGGCGUAAAGCGUGCGCAGGCGGUUCGUUGUGUCGGCGGUGAAAGCCCCGGGCUUAACCUGGGAAUGGCCGUCGAAACUGGCGAACUGGAGUGUGGCAGAGGGGGGUGGAAUUCCGCGUGUAGCAGUGAAAUGCGUAGAGAUGCGGAGGAACACCGAUGGCGAAGGCAGCCCCCUGGGCUGACACUGACGCUCAGGCACGAAAGCGUGGGGGAGCAAACAGG